rnacentral:rRNA from 1 species
CAGCCGCCGCGGUAAUACCGGCGGCCCGAGUGGCGGUCACUAUUAUUGGGCUUAAAGCGUCCGUAGCCGGGUUGGGAAGUCCUCCGGGAAAUCUGGCCGCUUAACGGUCAGAAUGCCGGAGGAUACUCCCAGCCUAGGGAGCGGGCGAGGCCGAGGGUAUUCCCGGAGUAGGGGGGAAAUCCUAUAAUCCCGGGAGGACCACCUGUGGCGAAGGCGCUCGGCUGGAACGCGUCCGACGGUGAGGGACGAAGGCCAGGGGAGCAAACCGGAUUAGAUACCCGGGUAGUCCUGGCUGUAAACGAUGCGGACUUUGUGUCGGACAAGCUAUGAGCUUGUCCGGUGCCGGAGGGAAACCGUUAAGUCCGCCGCCUGGGGAGUACGGCCGCAAGGCUGAAACUUAAAGGAAUUGGCGGG